rnacentral:miRNA from 1 species
GGUUGGCCAAAAAGUUCGUUCGGGUUUUCCAUAUGAUCUUAUGGAAAAACCCGAACGAAUUUUUGGGCCAACC